rnacentral:rRNA from 1 species
UACUGGAAACCGGAGCUAAUACCGGAUAAUAUAUUGAACCGCAUGGUUCAAUAGUGAAAGACGGUUUUGCUGUCACUUAUAGAUGGAUCCGCGCCGCAUUAGCUAGUUGGUAAGGUAACGGCUUACCAAGGCAGCGAUGCGUAGCCGACCUGAGAGGGUGAUCGGCCACACUGAACUGAGACACGGUCCAGACUCCUACGGGAGGCAGCAGCU